rnacentral:rRNA from 1 species
AUGGCUGUAGCUAUUCCUAACCUUUUUUCCCCCUCUUCUGGCCAUCAGUUCAAGUCUGUUUCUGGUGAUGAUGACAUUCCAAAGCGAGAUGAGAUUGGUGAAAGACGUCGAAAACACGAACUACGUGUUCUUGCUCGGGUAGGAACCAAUACGCGUGAAGAUAACAAGGACGGCGACGAUGAAGCAUCGGAGUCUGAAGAUGAAUUCUACAAAGAUGUCAAAAGGCAGAGGACCGAAAAGCGCUUGCGCAAAGAACAGAGCGCCCCUAUCAUCACUGAGCCGCUGGAGGAAGAAAGUGAAGGAGAUGGCAAGAGGAGGGGAAUCUCGCGCCAGAUCGAGAAGAACCGAGGGCUGACUCGCCCCAGAAACAAGAAGCUCAAGAACCCACGGACGAAAUACAGGGUCAAGAGUGAGAAGCAGCGUCUCAAGUGGAGAGGUCAAGGGCGUGGCGUGAAGAAGGCCUCUGGUCCAUACGGAGGAGAAAUGUCUGGCAUCAAUCCGAACGUCAGCCGUAGUGUUAGCCGGUACGGUGGUUGCUUCAGAUGGUUGAUUGUGUUUGAUGAGGAUUGGAAGCAGAGGCGAGGUGGGGCUCAGUGA